rnacentral:snRNA from 1 species
CUGCUCGCUUCGGCAGCACAGACACUAACACUGGGACGAUAGAGAUUAGCACGGCCCCUGCGCAAGGAUGACACGCAAAUUCGUGAAGCGUUCCAUAUUUUA